rnacentral:tRNA from 1 species
UCCCUGAUGGCUCAGACGGUAAAGCGUCUGCCUGCAAUGCGGGAGACCCGGGUUCAAUCCCUGGGUCGGGAA